AGCCCUGUAGUAUAGUGGUCAAGUAUUCUGGUCUUUGGAACCAGAGACCCAGGUUCGAAUCCUGGCAGGGCUA
rnacentral:tRNA from 1 species